GCGGCAGCCAUUGCUCAUAUCACAGGCUCAUAUUCUCAUAUCAAAUAUCGAUUGUCGAUUUGAUUUUUCGCUUGCGAAUUUCCAAAUUAUUUGAGUUGUAUUAGCAAUAUUAUGUGUGUUUAAGUGAUCACUAAUAUCCUAUAUAUUGCGCGAAUUACCCAGAGACCAACAUGGGAACAAGGCCUAUAUUUCGCUCAAGAAAAAUGUUGUAUUGAUAGAUCUAUGGAGGAAAUAACAAAGAUGAGUCCAGAAUUUAGCCAAAAUGCAUAAUUUUCCAAAAAUACUGAAAAACCAAAAAUAUGACAAGAAUCUUUGAAAAUAUAACACAAUGCCUGCCUUUUGUAAUUAUGUUGUUUUGUGAUGAUAGUAAAAUUUGGUUGAUAUAAAACUGAAACAUAACUAUUCCUGCUCUAUGAAUGACUCUGUGAUAACGUUACCCAGGAUUUAACUAAUUCAGCAUAAUCAGGUUUCGCUAGACAAGAGAAAUAUAUGACCAUGAAAGUGUAUAGAAGAUAGGCCUGAAAAUAAUAAU